UCGGGAAUAUUGCGCAAUGGAGGAAACUCUGACGCAGUGACGCCGCGUGCAGGAAGAAGGUUUUCGGAUUGUAAACUGCUUUAGACAGGGAAGAUGAUGACAGUACCUGUAGAAUAAGCUCCGGCUAACUACGUGCCAGCAGCCGCGGUAAUACGUAGGGAGCAAGCGUUAUCCGGAUUUAUUGGGUGUAAAGGGUGCGUAGACGGGAAGGCAAGUUGGUUGUGAAAUCCCUCGGCUUAACUGAGGAACUGCAACCAAAAUCUAUCUUUCUUGAGUGCUGGAGAGGAAAGUGGAAUUCCUAGUGUAGCGGUGAAAUGCGUAGAUAUUAGGAGGAACACCAGUGGCGAAGGCGACUUUCUGGACAGUAACUGACGUUGAGGCACGAAAGUGUGGGGUAGCAAACAGGAUUAGAUACC
rnacentral:rRNA from 1 species